rnacentral:tRNA from 1 species
CGGCGAGCUGGUCGACGAUCGACGGCGCGGCGCUCUUCGGCAGCGCCACGAUCGCGAGGUCCGCCCCUGCACGUUCGAACGCUGCUCGGUCGGC